rnacentral:rRNA from 1 species
UACGGAGGUGGCAAGCGUUGUUCGGAUUCAUUGGGUGUAAAGGGCAUGUAGGCGGCCUUUUAAGUCGAUUGUGAAAUCCCCUGGCUCAACCAGGGAACUGCAAUCGAUACUGAUAGGCUUGAGUGCAGAAGAGGAGAGCGGAAUUCCCGGUGUAAGGGUGAAAUCUGUAGAGAUCGGGAGGAACACCAGUGGCGAAGGCGGCUCUCUGGUCUGCAACUGACGCGUGAAAUGCGAAAGCUAGGGGAGCAAACAGGAUUAGAUACCCUUGUA